UACGAAGGGGGCUAGCGUUGCUCGGAAUCACUGGGCGUAAAGGGUGCGUAGGCGGGUCUUUAAGUCAGGGGUGAAAUCCUGGAGCUCAACUCCAGAACUGCCUUUGAUACUGAAGAUCUUGAGUUCGGGAGAGGUGAGUGGAACUGCGAGUGUAGAGGUGAAAUUCGUAGAUAUUCGCAAGAACACCAGUGGCGAAGGCGGCUCACUGGCCCGAUACUGACGCUGAGGCACGAAAGCGUGGGAAGCAACAGGGAUAAGAU
rnacentral:rRNA from 1 species